GGCAGCGGGGAGUAGCUUGCUACUCUGCCGGCGAGCGGCGGACGGGUGAGUAAAGUCUGGGGAUCUGGCUUAUGGAGGGGGAUAACCAUUGGAAACGGUGGCUAAUACCGCAUGAUGUCGCAAGACCAAAGUGGGGGACUUUAGGGCCUCACGCCAUAAGAUGAACCCAGAUGAGAUUAGCUAGUAGGUGCGGUAAUGGCGUACCUAGGCGACGAUCUCUAGCUGGUCUGAGAGGAUGACCAGCCACACUGGAACUGAGAGACGGUCCAGACUCCUACGGGAGGCAGCAGUGGGGAAUAUUGCACAAUGGGCGGAAGCCUGAUGCAGCCAUGCCGCGUGUGUGAAGAAGGCCUUAGGGUUGUAAAGCACUUUCAGCGGGGAGGAAGGCGGUAAGAGUAAUAUGCUUAUCGAUUGACGUUACCCGCAAAAGAAGCACCGGCUAACUCCGUGCCAGCAGCCGCGGUAAUACGGAGGGUGCGAGCGUUAAUCGGAAUAACUGGGCGUAAAGGGCAUGUAGGCGGUAAGUUAAGUCAGAUGUGAAAUCCCCGAGCUUAACUUGGGAACGGCAUUUGAGACUGGCUGGCUAGAGUUUUGUAGAGGGGGGUAGAAUUCCAGGUGUAGCGGUGAAAUGCGUAGAGAUCUGGAGGAAUACCGGUUGCGAAGGCGGCCCCCUGGAC
rnacentral:rRNA from 1 species